CGCGGUAGUUGGCGUACGGAUGCUGCGGAUCGCUCAGGUCGUUCUUCAGCAGUGUGGCGAUCUUUUCGCCACUGGCGCGG
rnacentral:tRNA from 1 species